AGAAUUUAAAAUGUGAACGCUGUACCUUUUUUAUAGCUGCACCCCCACCCAAUCAGGCUACAAAUAAGGUUGGCAAACUUUUUUGGUAAACAUCUGAUAGAAAAUAUUUCAAGUGCUGCAGACCACAUACUGUCUCUGUCAUCUCUGUCUCUGUCUCUCCCUGGUGUCCCUGGCUUCAUUUGGUUCUGGCCAGUGCUGGUGGUGCUGAUGAGGUGGUCUUCUCUGCAUAGAUGGUGCACAAGGUUUUCUGGGGCUCGUGGUCAGCUCCCCACGGUCCACUCUGUAGCUGAGUCCCACACUCCUCCAGAGGGCAGCUGUGUCUACCUUUAGCCCUGACAGCAAAUGAGCACCCACAAAUCCCUCCCUGGGUUGGGAGUGCCGUUACUUGCCCCAGUGGCCUAUGCGGCACCUGCUCUGUGCUAACCCCAGGAUCCCUUUCCAUAGAACCCAGGGACCCUUUACAUAGACCCCAGGGACCUUCUAGGGUGUUCAUCUGGACUCUCUGAGAGCUAGAAGAAUGGGUACUGGGUGGGAUUGCCCAGUGUUCCUCUCAGAAACACCAUCCGUCUCUGUUGUUCUGAGCCCUGCUGGCCAAGGCCACAUCAACCAGGCCUUUGCCUUUGGAAAUCUCUAGACCAGAGGUAGGCACUGAUCUCGGGGUCCAAGUGAACCCCAAAAUGUCAAGGGAGCCAGCCAUGGGUCCUCUUCUUCCCCACAGUGGGGGAGGCCCUGUGUCAGACACAUAUUCCCAGAAUGCGCCCGAGGCUCUUACCACAGCUCCACAGCUGGCUUUGGGUCUGCGGCUCGCUGAACACCAGCGCAGCCUGGGAACCAGCCACUGGCCUCCCUUGCUGCAGACACCCCAGGAACAAGGGAAUCUCAGACCUCACGGGGCCACAGGGGGGUAGCCUCUCACCACAACCCCCGCCCUCCCUAGGAGGCCUUGCCUCUUCUAACUAACACUGCCAGUGGGAAGGCAGGCAGAGCACUUGGCAUUUGCUGGGAGACAGAUCUCUCCCUGGGUCUGUAGGUGGGAGCUGGCACCACUGCAGGUGGAUUUCUGAACUCAGGAUUGCUGGGUCUUCAGUGCUUUUCACUGUCAGCUUUGGCCACUGGCUGCAAUUCUGAGACACAAGGAAAAAUCCCACUUGGCUUCCUGUUCCAACAUCCAGUCCAUCAUCAGCUCAUUCUUGUGUGCCUGACUUGAACUUCCUGAGCCGUUCUCUUCAGUGAGGACAGUAGGGUCAGCGGACUGCAGUGCGAAGGUCACCCCAGGCUUCAAAUCCUCCCCCUGCCAUCUACUUAAAUGAUAGAUGAUACUCCUCCCCUCACAGCUCAGUGUGCAGAUGAAAUGAAUUAAUAUCUGAAAAAGAUUCAAACAAUGCCCAGUGCACAGUACAUGAUUUCUAAGUGUUUGCUCUUCUUAUCAUUAUAUUGAAUAAGAACUCAGAGGAGCCUCAGUUCCUUGCCUGUUAAAUGAGAUUCUCGUGCUCACAGGAGGAAUUUGGGGAAGAACAGAGAUGGCCUAUAAUCAACAUGAGACACAGUGCCUGGUACAUAGUGAGCACUCAGUAAAGUCAGUUCCCUUCCAUUGCCCUCCACCACUUUCACAUCAGAGGCCACGCCUUACAGAGACAGCGGGUGCCUUGGAUGAGCAGGAGCCACCAUCCUCGGAAGGAACUGUGCUAGGCAGGCCAGAGCAAGGGGUAGAGGAAAAGGAGUAGGAACCAUCUGUGCUUGCCUGGAACCGACAGGAGACAGAGCAUCCUUGCUCCUGAGUGCCUUCAUUCUAAAGGAGACAAAUCCUGGGCUAGGAGGCACAGGGCUGGGGUUCUGGCCCCAGCAUGGCCUGUGAAGCAUUGGGCAAGACGGAUUAGCAGUCUGAAACUGGGGUUCUCUCAGGCAAUGAGAGGGUUGGGCUUGGUGAUGUCCACCUUGGCCUGGUUCUGGCCAGUGACUUCCUGCCGAACCCCAUUCAGCACCAUUCUCCCACUCUUCCUCCUCUUCACGUCUCUCAUCCUCCUUUCACCCUCAUGAUUGCUUUUUUGCUCACGGCCACCGGGUUUUGUUAUUCUCUGGCACAGCCCAGCAUAUUCAUUUCUCCUGGUGCGCUUCUCAGCUCUGCCUGGCGAAU
rnacentral:lncRNA from 1 species